GCUGUCCCCCGCGCUGCCUGAGCUCCAGGCCCGACGCCAUCUUGUGGCGGCUCCGGGUUUCCGCUCAGGCAAGUGCGAGAGCGACUAAAGGGCCUGGGACCCCGGGGCCCUGUUCGGACAGCCCCGCCGGCCCGGGACCUCGCCGCCGGGUAUCCCCGCAGUGUGGCUCCACUUCACGGCAGGGUGCAGUGUGGCGACUUGACUCCACCCGUCGCUCACCUGAUGCUUUCGUAGCCGCGUUCCUCUCCGACUCCGGCAUCGACGAAGUCGCCAUCCUCUUUCCCCCGCUGCGGAGGGACCCAUCGGCCUUCCGUAGGCCGGGACUACUUCCUACGCCGGCCCGGAGAAAGACAGGCUUCCAGUGUGCCGGAAGGUGGCCCCGAGGUCUCAAAACCAUACUAGAGUUCUCAGAGAAUAUAGGAUUUUACAUGUCUCCUAGUAUGGGUGACGGAGUCCUCUAUGGGUUGGGAGCUACUUUCUCUCCGGCGGAGGAAUACAUAGGAGUGGCUACGUGACGUCACUGCUGGAUCCCUUCCCUGGGCCGCAGGGCUGGGCGCGGCUCAGGCUGGCCCCACGUCCGGGGGCGUGGCUCCCAGUGGCCUGACCACGCCCUUCCCGGAACAGCUCAGAAAAGCCACCGAGCAGCUUUUGGGAUCUCCGUUCCCCAGUUAGGGGAUCCAACCUGGGGCCCAGGAGUGACAGUGCUGAGUCCUAUCUACUGGACCACCAGGGAAUUCCCAUAACCUCCACACUUUCUGAUUGCUGUACUAUUUCUGUAGUAUUUUUCAUCUAGUUAUAAUAAUACUACCUGAUUCAUAUAUAUAUAUAUAUA